rnacentral:rRNA from 1 species
GAUGAACGCUAGCGAUAGGCUUAACACAUGCAAGUCGAGUGGCAGCACAUGAUUGGCAACAAGAUGGUGGCGACGGGCGCACGGGUGAGUAACACGUAUGCAACCCGCACACAACGGGGGGAUAACCUGACGAAAUUCGUCCUAAUCCCGCAUCAUAAUUUUAUUCUGCAUGGAGAGGUAGUAAAAGGUGACUUGGUGAUGGAUGGGCAAGCGUUCCAUUGGGUAGUUGGCGGGGUAACGGCCCACCAAGCCUACGAUAGAUAGGGGUUCUGAGAGGAAGGUCCCCCACAUUGGUACUGAGGCACGGACCAAACUCCUACGGGAGGAAGCAGUGAGGAAUAUUGGUCAAUGGGCGAGAGCCUGAACCAGCCAAAUCGCGUGAAGGAUGAAGGUAUUAUGUAUUGUAAACUUCUUUUGUCAGGGAAUAAAGUGCAGGACGUGUCCUGUUUUGUAAGUACCUGAAGGAUAAGGAUCGGCUAACUCCGUGCCAGCAGCCGCCGUAAAAC